ensembl:Y_RNA Y_RNA Y RNA
GGCUGGUCCAAGUGCAGUGGUGUUUACCAGUUCAGAUUUCUAUGUGGCUUUUCUACUCCUACUGCUUCGCCUGACUAGCCUACA